rnacentral:rRNA from 1 species
UACGUAGGGACCGAGCGUUGUCCGGAAUCAUUGGGCGUAAAGAGCGUGUAGGCGGCCAACUAAGUCCUGCGUGAAAUCUCGGGGCUCAACCCCGAGCGGUCGUGGGAAACUGGUUGGCUAGAGUGCGGGAGAGGAGAGUGGAAUUCCUGGUGUAGCGGUGAAAUGCGCAGAUAUCAGGAGGAACACCGGUGGCGAAGGCGGGUCUCUGGGCCGAUACUGACGCUGAGGAGCGAAAGCUAGGGGAGCGAACGGG